ensembl:lncRNA
AUGUUCUCUUCCCGGGUCCCGUCGCCGGGCUGCCCUGUGCUGUGGGGCCUUUCACGGCUCCUGCUUUCCCAGAGUUCAAAGCACCGGGAAUACAGAGUCGUGUCAUUGUUGGGAGUCGGAGCGUCAGUGUUGUUUGAUGUCUGGGCCCAUGGUGUUUUGCUGGUAAAAUCAGCUCAGGCUAUUCUGAGUUACAGGAACUGUCAGGGAAGCCGUAAAGCAAGUGACGUGUCUUUUAGCAGGAGGGGGCGGGACCGGCUCGCUGAGGCGUCUGCUGCGAUUUUUGUAGCUGUUUCUGAAAACACUGGAGAUGGAUUCACUGGUGACAGCGCUGUGGCGGUGGUAAACGGCGAAACAGAAAAACCUAAAUGUUUUGCAGCUUUCCAGCUGCACCGUGGUCUUGACGUUCAGGGAGGUCCCGGGGAGGUCGUGAUCUUCCUAAACAAACAAAAGAACAACAGCAAUGAAAUGAAAAGGCGGCUGUCUCCUUGGUCUGCUCCCCCAGCGCCCCCGCCAGCCCUCCGUCCCUCCGGUGUUCUCUCCGGGAGGGGGUGGACGUCACUCACGUCCCUGUGGUCCGCUCCUUUCCCGCACGUGUGCGUGUAUCCACCGACAGCUCGCAGGGUGGGGUUGCACCUUCUAAGCGUGCAGAUGCGCACCUGCGCUGUACGCGCCACCCUGCACUGGUCCCUGCCGUCCAGGUCACGCCUGACGGCCCCCCCCCCACCCCCCGCCCCUCGUGAAGCCCCGGCUCGUGUCCACGGAUGGCCGUGCAGGGUCACGAUUCAUGGUCACAGCGGUCGCCUCUGAUUGUGCGCUGUUACAAUGAACAUCUUUGGACGUGUCGGGGGGCGGACAGUGUCGGAGACGGUCCGGGGACUUCCAGGGAGACGGCAGCAGGGUGAGGAGCCUGGGGGCCGCCCUCUCACGCUCUCCCCCGCCGUCUGGAGGGAAGCCGGGCCCCACCCUGAGCUCCCUGCGCGGAGGGCCUGUUUUUCCCCUGCCUGCUCAGGCCGCUGCGUCCUUGGCGGAAGUGGGACGGCCCCUUGGACUCCGCUGGCGCCUCUGCGGCUCUCACCGCACUCGGGUCACCGGAGCACAAGCGGAGCGCUUUCUCCGGGGCGGGGUCCCUCCCAGUCCCUCGGGGCCGGGCGCUCUCACCUUCAGGCCCACGCAGUCUCCUCCGCAAUCCCACCCUCUGCUCCCCGCCCCCUCCGCACCCCACCCCGGCUGCCUCGCGGCGCAGUCACCCCCCGCCGAGGCUGCCCGGUCACCCCGGCCCUUCACUCUGCUCGCGGUUGCUGUCAUCUCGUCCCCCUCCCCGUGGCCCCGUGAUGCCUGCCUAGCCGCAUACCCUGCCUUUAAAGGCAUUCCCAGGCAGCUUAUGGUCUUGAUGUUACUGUAGAUGGACUUCACUUCAUUUCCCAGCUGCUUGCCACUGGGUAUCUAAUACAAGGGCCGAUAAGGCUCUUCAGACCAAACAUCGAGAACCAGUGACAGUUCAGCAUGAACUUAAUUUUGGGGAGUUAAGCAGAGCAAAAAUUUGAGCUUAUUUUUGGUCAAUGUGAAAAUGACGUCCACAUUAAAAAAAAAAGUAUUAAUGAGUUUUUUAAAUUAAAAAAGUAUUGAGUUUUCUUCUUAAAAGUC